rnacentral:rRNA from 1 species
UGCGAACGCUGGCGGCAGGCCUAACACAUGCAAGUCGAACGGACCCUUCGGGGUUAGUGGCGGACGGGUGAGUAACACGUGGGAACGUGCCUUUAGGUUCGGAAUAGCUCCUGGAAACGGGUGGUAAUGCCGAAUGUGCCCUUCGGGGGAAAGAUUUAUCGCCUUUAGAGCGGCCCGCGUCUGAUUAGCUUGUUGGUGGGGUAAUGGCCCACCAAGGCUACGAUCAGUAGCUGGUCUGAGAUGAUGACCAGCCACAUUGGGACUGAGACACGGCCCAAACUCCUACGGGAGGCAGCAGUGGGGAAUCUUGCGCAAUGGGCGAAAGCCUGACGCAGCCAUGCCGCGUGUAUGAUGAAGGUCUUAGGAUUGUAAAAUACUUUCACCGGUGAAGAUAAUGACUGUAGCCGGAGAAGAAGCCCCGGCUAACUUCGUGCCAGCAGCCGCGGUAAUACGAAGGGGGCUAGCGUUGCUCGGAAUUACUGGGCGUAAAGGGAGCGUAGGCGGACAUUU